AUACUUAUUGGGCAGGGGAGAUAUCAUUAUUUUGAAUGUGGUUUUCCCAGGGCAAGGCUUACUCGUUGCACUCCGAAUGUAUUGACCCCUGCGAUGUCCCCAAACGUGAGAAACUUGACUGCAUAAUUUGUGGUAGUAGGGGACUGCAUUCGUACUCUCCCCCU